rnacentral:misc_RNA from 1 species
UCCCAAUCCCCAUACUCAUUAAAAAAAAUAAUAAUAAUAACAAGAGAGAGAUAAAGAAUCCCUCUCAAUUGGCAGGUGCCACUGCUGCAUUAGGAGGGUCACUUUCACCUUUAUCACCAGCACUGUUCUCAAUCUGUGGGACCACCUGAUCUUGAGAGGGAUCAUGGCUCUGAGAUGACAGUCUCCUCGGUCUCUUGUCGCUCCUGUCAGCCACUCUGGUCCUUGGAGUUGGACCAACAAUACCUGAGGUGGUAUGCUUUUUUCGUCUCUGUGACUGUGAUUUCAAAUCUAGGGUAGACUCUGCGCUGUCCGGCAAGUAACGAUCGAGACGGAGGAGACGACCGUUGUUUUCGAGCAUUGUGCGGACAAAGGCGGCCUCCAUUGAGUUCAAAAAGUGCAGGUGCUUCUCGUUUGUCCAUGGUCCGGUUUGAUUGCUGGCCACACGAGGGUCCAUUCCACCGGGAAACCGCUGUUUCGUCGCCGGGAAAUUUGUCCCUUUUUUUUUUCCUUCUUUUUAAGUUGCAAUUUCCAAGUCACCUUUGG